rnacentral:lncRNA from 1 species
UAACAACUACGUCCUCUAUCUGUCAUGGAAAGAGAUCAUACCAAUAUUGAGAAUGAUGCUCAUCAUAACAUGCUAAUUAGCUCUUCUUCUGUUACUUCCACCACCGCCACUGCUUCUCCUUCCUCCAUGAUAUACUCGUUUUCGGAUUCUGAUCAUCAAAACGAGAGAAGUUGUUCCAAAAAUAGUGAUAAUGAGAAGAAGAAAAGGCAAAGGAGUAGUGAUAUUGGUGAAGGCAAGAAGCAUCCGACAUACCGUGGAGUACGCAUGAGAAGUUGGGGCAAAUGGGUGUCUGAAAUCCGAGAACCAAGGAAGAAAUCAAGAAUAUGGCUUGGAACAUACCACACAGCUGAAAUGGCUGCUCGAGCCCAUGAUGUAGCUGCCCUCGCCAUCAAAG